rnacentral:rRNA from 1 species
CCUACGGGUGGCAGCAGUGAGGAAUAUUGGUCAAUGGACGAGAGUCUGAACCAGCCAAGUAGCGUGAAGGAUGACUGCCCUAUGGGUUGUAAACUUCUUUUAUAAAGGAAUAAAACGAGGCACGUGUGCCUUUUUGCAUGUACUUUAUGAAUAAGGAUCGGCUAACUCCGUGCCAGCAGCCGCGGUAAUACGGAGGAUACGAGCGUUAUCCGGAUUUAUUGGGUUUAAAGGGAGCGUAGAUGGGUUGUUAAGUCAGUUGUGAAAGUUUGCGGCUCAACCGUAAAAUUGCAAUUGAUACUGGCAGUCGUGAGUACAGUUGAGGUAGGCGGAAUGCGUGGUGUAGCGGUGAAAUGCUUAGAUAUCACGAAGAACCCCGAUUGCGAAGGCAGCUUACUAAACUGUGACUGACAUUGAUGCUCGAAAGUGUGGGUAUCAAACAGGAUUAGAUACCCUAGUAGUC